GCUCAGUACGGCGAGUGAGCGGCAAAAGCUCAAAUUUGAAAUCUAGCACCUUCGGUGUUCGAGUUGUAAUUUGAAGAUGGUAACCUUGGGUUUGGCUCUUGUCUAUGUUCCUUGGAACAGGACGUCAUAGAGGGUGAGAAUCCCGUCUGAUGAGAUGCCCAUUCCUAUGUAAGGUGCUAUCGAAGAGUCGAGUUGUUUGGGGAAUGCAGCUCUAAGUGGGUGGUAAAUUCCAUCUAAAGCUAAAUAUUGGCGAGAGACCGAUAGCGAACAAGUACAGUGAUGGAAAGAUGAAAAGAACUUUGAAAAGAGAGUGAAAAAGUACGUGAAAUUGUUGAAAGGGAAGGGCAUUAGAUCAGACUUGGUGUUUUACGAUUAUCUUCUCUUCUUGAGUUGUGCACUCGUAUUUCACUGGGCCAGCAUCGAUUCGGAUGGCAAGAUAAUGGCAGUUGAAUGUGGCUUCACUUCGGUGGAGUGUUAUAGCUUCUGCUGAUAUUGCCUGUCUGGAUCGAGGGCUGCGUCUUUUGACUAGGAUGCUGGCGUAAUGAUCUAAUGCCGCCCGUCUU
rnacentral:rRNA from 1 species